rnacentral:rRNA from 1 species
AGUGAACGCUGGCGGUAGGCCUAACACAUGCAAGUCGAACGGCAGCACAGUAAGAGCUUGCUCUUACGGGUGGCGAGUGGCGGACGGGGGAGGAAUACAUCGGAAUCUACUUUUUCGCGGGGGAUAACGUAGGGAAACUUACGCUAAUACCGCAUACGACCUACGUGUGAAAGCAGGGGAUCUUCGGACCUUGCGCGAUUGAAUGAGCCGAUGUCGGAUUAGCUAGUUGGCGGGGUAAAGGCCGAGCAAGGCGACGAUCCGUAGCUGGUCUGAGAGGAUCAUCCGCCACACUGGAACUGAGACACGGUCCACACUCCUACGGUAGGCAGCAGUCGAGAAUAUUAGACGAUGGGCGCAAGGCUGAUCCAGCCAUACCGCGUGGGUGAAGAAGGACUUCGGGUUGUAAAACCCUUUUGUUGGGAAAGAAAAGCAGCUGUUUCAUCCCCCGCUGUUCUGACGGUACCCAAAGAAUAAGCACCGGCUAACUUCGUG